ensembl:snRNA U6 U6 spliceosomal RNA
GUGCUUGCUUUGGUGGCACAAGUACUAAAAUUGGAAUAAUACAGAGAUUAGCAUGGCCUCUGUUCAACAUGACAUGAAAAUUAAUGAAGCAUUCCAUGUAUAA